rnacentral:rRNA from 1 species
GAUGAACGCUGGCGGCGUGCCUAAUACAUGCAAGUAGAACGCUGAAGAGAGGAGCUUGCUCUUCUUGGAAGAGUUGCGAACGGGUGAGUAACGCGUAGGUAACCUGCCUUGUAGCGGGGGAUAACUAUUGGAAACGAUAGCUAAUACCGCAUAACAAUGGGUGACCCAUGUCAUUCAUUUGAAAGGGGCAACUGCUCCACUACAAGAUGGACCUGCGUUGUAUUAGCUAGUAGGUGAGGUAACGGCUCACCUAGGCGACGAUACAUAGCCGACCUGAGAGGGUGAUCGGCCACACUGGGACUGAGACACGGCCCAGACUCCUACGGGAGGCAGCAGUAGGGAAUCUUCGGCAAUGGGGGCAACCCUGACCGAGCAACGCCGCGUGAGUGAAGAAGGUUUUCGGAUCGUAAAGCUCUGUUGUAAGUCAAGAACGAGUGUGAGAGUGGAAAGUUCACACUGUGACGGUAGCUUACCAGAAAGGGACGGCUAACUACGUGCCAGCAGCCGCGGUAAUACGUAGGUCCCGAGCGUUGUCCGGAUUUAUUGGGCGUAAAGCGAGCGCAGGCGGUUUGAUAAGUCUGAAGUUAAAGGCUGUGGCUCAACCAUAGUUCGCUUUGGAAACUGUCAAACUUGAGUGCAGAAGGGGAGAGUGGAAUUCCAUGUGUAGCGGUGAAAUGCGUAGAUAUAUGGAGGAACACCGGUGGCGAAAGCGGCUCUCUGGUCUGUAACUGACGCUGAGGCUCGAAAGCGUGGGGAGCGAACAGG